GUUAAGAUGGAGCAUCCUUCUUAUUUCCUACAUUGUUUUGUAGGACAUUAUUGAUGAACUAAAAUUGAGAUCAAAGAAGUAUCUCUGAAGAGAAGGUGCUAAUUUUAAGGGUUUGAAGGAUAAAAAUCUUAGGAGUCAAUUGGUUGCUGAAGAGAAAUUAUAUGGAGAAUAUGUAAAAGUUGUUGGCAAGGCCGAGAAAAUUGUGUUUUUUCUAGUUUGUUAGGGUUUAUUUGAAUGGGGAGAGGAAAGAUCGUGAUUAGGAGGAUUGAUAAUUCGACGAGUCGACAAGUGACGUUUUUGAAGCGAAGAAAUGGUUUGUUGAAGAAGGCGAAGGAGCGUGGAAUUUUGUGUGAUA